rnacentral:rRNA from 1 species
UUGAAAGGGAAACGAUUGAAGUCAGUCGUACCUAUGGGUAAUCAGCCUUUUGGGUGUGAUUUUGUGGAGCGUGAGGAGUUAAACGCCUUCAUGCCUGCAUAUUCGUGCACUUUGGGUGUACUUGCCCGUGUGUAAGUUAACAUCAAUUUUGGUGGUCAUAAAAUGGCUGGAGGAAUGUAGCUUCGAUCUUGUAUUGAAGUGUUAUAGCCUUCGGUAGAUGUGACGAUCGGGAUUGAGGAUUGCAACGGAUACCCUUCGGGGCUACCUGUCUGAUCUCUGAUUGUUGCUCUGGUACCGAAAGCUUGCUUACGGUUAUCAAAGUCGAUGGUCAAUAGGUUAGAANNNNNNNNNNUUCGUUAAGGAUGUUGACGUA